GACGAACCGUACGAACGUUAUUCGGAAUCACUGGGCUUAAAGGGUGCGUAGGCUGCGCGGAAAGUUGGGUGUGAAAUCCCUCGGCUCAACCGAGGAACUGCGCCCAAAACUGCCGUGCUCGAGGGAGACAGAGGUGAGCGGAACUUAGGGUGGAGCGGUGAAAUGCGUAGAGAUCCGGAGGAACACCAAAGGCGAAGGCAGUGUCCUGGGGAGUACCUGACGCUCAGGUGCGAAAGCCAGGGGAGCGAACGGG
rnacentral:rRNA from 1 species